AAUAGAUACCCGGGUAGUCCACGCCGUAAACGAUGAGUGCUAGGUGUUGGGGGUAUCAUGCCCUCGGUGCCGAAGUUAACACAUUAAGCACUCCGCCUGGGGAGUACGGUCGCAAGACUGAAACUCAAAGGAAUUGACGGGGACCCGCACAAGCAGUGGAGUAUGUGGUUUAAUUCGAAGCAACGCGAAGAACCUUACCAGGUCUUGACAUCCCUUUGACCGUCCUAGAGAUAGGGCUUUCCUUCGGGACAGAGGAGACAGGUGGUGCAUGGUUGUCGUCAGCUCGUGUCGUGAGAUGUUGGGUUAAGUCCCGCAACGAGCGCAACCCUUGAACUUAGUUGCCAGCGAGUAAGGUCGGGCACUCUAGGUUGACUGCCGGUGACAAACCGGAGGAAGGCGGGGAUGACGUCAAAUCAUCAUGCCCCUUAUGACCUGGGCUACACACGUACUACAAUGGCCGGUACAAAGGGCAGCGAAGCCGCGAGGUGGAGCCAAUCCCAGCAAAGCCGGUCUCAGUUCGGAUUGCAGG
rnacentral:rRNA from 1 species